CCUCUAGGCAUUUGUUGGUUUUUAUUGAAAAAGUAUAUGUUUAUUAUUUCCUUUUCUAACAUUGUCUUUUCUGUGCAUAAGCCCUUCAGUUAUCCACCAGAAGUUACUGCUGGUUGUGAUGCCAUGACACUUGGAGGGAAUUGCAGUCUGUUUGCCAUCAAUUCAAAUUUUAUUCCCUAUGUCAGGCUGGCCUCCACCUCCCAGAAAACACCGUCCCACCCAGUUCCUCGUCUGCAUUGCCUCCUGUUGACAACAUAAAUUCCCAGGCUCCUCCAAGUCACCUGAGACCUCAGAACGUGUCCCUGUCUAGGUCACACUUCUGUAGCCCCCCCUAUCCCAGCACAACAGCAGGAGCUGUGCAGUCAUCCUCACAGCAGUGAUUUGGAGUGAAGGAUGUGAUAUGAAGAACAUCUAUGGUGACACAAGGAAACUUGCAGUUGUCAUUAGGGACAGUGCACUUAAUGAGGAGUAACUCACGGGAGGCAUCCCCCAUCUGAUAUGCUACAGGGGGAACUGAAAACAGUUUCCAUGCAGGGAGAACCAUGCAGAGCUGACUGAGGAGCAUCCACAUCACACUCAUGCAGACAAGGGCAGUGCUUGAGCACGAUCUCUGUUCUCUGCAGAGCACAGGAGUGAAGCUUUGAAACUGGGACCUCAGGGAUGCCACCAUGCCCUCCUGCUCCAGGCACCACCAGGAGCUCUGCUAUAUGACCACACUGCAAAAUACUCAACUGAGGAGAUAUUUAAAGAAAAAUCUGAAUCAAAUCUAGCAAAAUUGACAGAGAGGUCAUUCAUGGAGAAUAAACGUGAACAUUCUCAUGUGAGUUUCUGCAGUUAUUUUUCUCAUUAAAUCUGUUUUGUGGGUUAUAAAGUGGGUAUAAAUUUCUUGUUUUAGGAAAAGAUGUGGUAUCUUUGCAAUUCAAAACACCCUUAUUCAAAUUAGCUCAGUUGAUGUUUAAUAGGAGUGGCACUAAAAUACUUCAUUCUGACUGACAGAAAUAAAGCUCUGCCUUUUUUUUAUCUCUAUGGAAUUUAUACUUCACCUCCAAAAUAAGUAAGAAAAAACUUCACAAACUAUCAGUGCAAAACUGUGCUGUAUUUUUGCAUGUGUCUGUAGGCAGACAGCUUGAAAAAAUUCUGAAAGGGGCCUGAAAUAUUCUAUUCCUCUGAACUUUGCCUGAGCUCGGAGACCUGUUAACACAAAACCAGAUGGGUCUCUGUAAUAACCAUCCUGAAAACUGUUGACUGGGAUCAAAUCUCCGGCUUUUGACUGCUCUAGUGAGAUGGAUAUAGCUGGGAUCUGCAAUCUCAGGUAGCCAGUGCAAGCUUCAGUGGUAGCAAGGGAAACAUACUCCCAUGCUGGGUGAAUUUCAUGUUGACUUCGUACCUUAUGAAAUCAAAACUCACAGAAAAACUUCCGCAUCA